rnacentral:rRNA from 1 species
UGGCUCAGAACGAACGCUGGCGGCAGGCUUAACACAUGCAAGUCGAACGGGCGUAGCAAUACGUCAGUGGCAGACGGGUGAGUAACACGUGGGAACCUUCCUCGUAGUACGGAACAACUCAGGGAAACUUGAGCUAAUACCGUAUACGUCCGAGAGGAGAAAGAUUUAUCGCUAUGAGACGGGCCCGCGUCCGAUUAGCUAGUUGGUGGGGUAACGGCCUAGCAAGGCAACGAUCGGUAGCUGAUCUGAGAGGAUGAUCAGCCACACUGCGACUGAGACACGACCCAGACUCCUACG